rnacentral:rRNA from 1 species
UACAGAGGUCUCAAGCGUUGUUCGGAUUCAUUGGGCGUAAAGGGUGCGUAGGCGGCCAGGUAAGUCCGUUGUGAAAACUCGAGGCUCAACCUCGAGACGUCGGCGGAAACCCUCUGGCUAGAGUCCGGAAGAGGAGAGUGGAAUUCCUGGUGUAGCGGUGAAAUGCGCAGAUAUCAGGAAGAACACCCGUGGCGAAGGCGGCUCUCUGGGACGGUACUGACGCUGAGACGCGAAAGCGUGGGGAGCAAACAGG